rnacentral:lncRNA from 1 species
GCGUCCGCUAGAUGGCGCUGCUCCGUGCAUCCCGAUAGGCCCCGCCUGCCGCUGGGCGGGCGCCGGAAGGAUGGGGAAGGACCGGGAAGGACCGGAAGGCCCUGGGGUCGCGGGUUCAGGCCGUAGCGCCGCCUCUGGGGCUGAUUCGGGCCCGCCCUGCGGCUGCGUUCGGCCCUUGGGAGCUAGAGCCACUUUUCAGCUGCCGCUGGCUCCCAUCUCAGCGCUUUUGCACCGAGAGUCGGUGUUUUUGCACGCUUCUCCCAGGUCAUCCAAUCAAAAGCCUCUGCUCCACCGGGCCAACCCACAGAGCGGCCAGCGAUCCCCCUGCGGCCUUGGCAAGAGACCUUUAAAGAUGCAGGUGGAACCCGGAGAAAGCCACGCAGAGAAGCCGGGCCAGUGUUUGACCAACUGUGCCUGGAACUGGGCCAGGGAGAGGAAGUUACAGAGGGUUUGCAAAAUAACUUCCCCUCGCUUCUGAAGGCAGGUGAGUGAGCCCAACCUGCAGUAGGAGGGACAAAGACUAGACGGCGAGAGGGAUUUUAUUUGCCUACAGACAGCAGUGUUGAGUGAGCUAGGUUAGAAACCCUCUUUUGGAGAUCUGUAAGAAUGAUAACUGCCCAGUUAGGUGCCCGGUGCCCAGUACAUUAGCUUCCCAUGUCCUACAAUAAUCCCAUUGAGUCAGUGUUAUUAUCCCCAGAUGAAGAAUCUCUACUCAGAGCUGGGGAAGCCCCUGGCCCAGUGUUAUUCCGCAGAGUUAAUGGCAGUGGGCAGAACCUCCAUCCAGUGGGCAGCUCUGCCUCUUGGACAACCACCUUUGGAGGGGGGGGUGGCCCCAAUUUAGAGCCUCCUCCGCCCCCCAGUGCCUUUCAGGGAUUCUUGUGUUUAAUUUGUGGUGUUGAGUCACCUAGGAUUCCUGAUGGCUGUGGAUGCUGUUGAUCACUGGGUACCAUUAGCUGGGGGCUUCCAUCGAGUUACAGAGAGGGCUCAUAAGCCACUCAGCAGAAGUCCCCAGUGUCUUGCCUUCAGGACCGGGGGCCUUAUUCAGAAAGGGAGCCAUCACAUGGGAGGUUCUCAUCUUGAGGGCGUGGGAGGAUGGGGUCUGGGUAAGGAGACAGGAAUUGCACAAGCAUUGCCAUUCAUUCUUUUUUUUUUUUAAUUGAAGUAUAGUUGAUUUACCAUGUUUCAGGUGUACCAGUAGCACCUUGUUUAUUUUAUAAAUAGUAGCGGGUAUAUGUUAAUUCCAAAUUGCUGAUUUAUCCCUCCCCUCCUUUCCCCUUUGGUAACCAUAAGUUUGUUUUCUGUGUCUGAAUCUGUUUCUGUUUUGUAAAUAAAUUCACUUGUAUCAUUUUUUUUAUUAGAUUCCACGUAUAAGUGAUAUCCUAUGAUAUUUGUGUUUGACUUACUUCACUUAGUAUAAUAUUCUCUAGUUCCACCUAUGUUGCUGCAAAUGGCAUUAUUUCAUUCUUUUUUUAUGACUGAGUAAUAUUCCAUGGUAGAUAUACAACAUCUUCUUUAUCCAUUCCUCUGCCACAGCCAUAGCAAUGCUAGAUCCGAGCCUCGUCUGCCACGUCCACCACAGCUCAGGACAACGCCAGAUCCUUAACCCACUGAGCAAGGCCAGGGAUCAAACCUGAAACCUCAUGUUUCCUAGUCGGAUU